rfam:Triticum aestivum genome assembly, contig: Triticum_aestivum_CS42_TGACv1_scaffold_514925_6BS
CAUAUACUCCCUCCGUCCGGAAAUACUUGUCGAAGAAAUAAAUGUAUCUAGACAUAUUUUAGGUCUAGAUACAUCCAUUUUUACCCAUUUCCACGACAAGUAAUUCCGGACAGAGGGAGUAGUAU